CAGAUGUAGCUUAAUGGUAAAGUCCCGGCCUUCCAAGCUGGUUAUGCGAGUUCGAUUCUCGUCAUCUG
rnacentral:tRNA from 1 species